UACGUAGGGGGGCAAGCGUUGUCCGGAUUUAUUGGGCGUAAAGAGCGUGUAGGCGGCUAGAUAGGUCCGUUGUGAAAACUCGAGGCUCAACCUCGAGACGUCGAUGGAAACCAUCUGGCUAGAGUCCGGAAGAGGAGAGUGGAAUUCCUGGUGUAGCGGUGAAAUGCGUAGAUAUCUGGAGGAACACCGGUGGCGAAGGCGGCAUCCUGGACCAACACUGACGCUGAGUGAGCGAAAGCCAGGGGAGCAAACGGG
rnacentral:rRNA from 1 species